rnacentral:rRNA from 1 species
UACGUAGGGGGCAAGCGUUGUCCGGAUUUAUUGGGCGUAAAGAGCGUGUAGGCGGCUUUACAGGUCCGUUGUGAAAACUCGAGGCUCAACCUCGAGACGCCGGUGGAAACCGUAAAGCUAGAGUCCGGAAGAGGAGAGUGGAAUUCCUGGUGUAGCGGUGAAAUGCGCAGAUAUCAGGAGGGACACCGGUGGUGUAGACGGCUUACUGGACCAUAACUGACGCUGAGACACGAAAGCGUGGGUAGCAAACAGG